UACGUAGGGACCGAGCGUUGUCCGGAUUCAUUGGGCGUAAAGAGCUCGUAGGCGGCCACUCAAGUCGAAUGUGAAACCUCGAGGCUCAACCUCGAGCCUGCAUUCGAUACUGGGCGGCUAGAGUCUGGUAGGGGGAUCUGGAAUUCCUGGUGUAGCGGUGGAAUGCGCAGAUAUCAGCAGGAACACCCGUGGCGAAGGCGGCUUCCUGGAUCACCCCUGACGCUGAGACGUGAAAGCGUGGGGAGCGAACGGG
rnacentral:rRNA from 1 species